rnacentral:rRNA from 1 species
GACGAACGCUGGCGGCGUGCUUAACACAUGCAAGUCGAACGGUGAAAGCGGAGCUUGCUCCGCUGGAUCAGUGGCGAACGGGUGAGUAACACGUGGGCAACCUGCCCCUCACUUCGGGAUAACUCCGGGAAACCGGGGCUAAUACCGGAUAUGACCUCCUUGGGCAUCCUUGGAGGUGGAAAGUUUUUCGGUGAGGGAUGGGCCCGCGGCCUAUCAGCUUGUUGGUGAGGUAGUGGCUCACCAAGGCGACGACGGGUAGCCGGCCUGAGAGGGCGACCGGCCACACUGGGACUGAGACACGGCCCAGACUCCUACGGGAGGCAGCAGUGGGGAAUAUUGCGCAAUGGGCGAAAGCCUGACGCGGCAACCCCGCGUGCGGGAUGACGGCCUUCGGGUUGUAAACCGCUUUCAGCAGGGAAGAAGCCGCAAGGUGACGGUACCUGCAGAAGAAGCACCGGCUAACUACGUGCCAGCCGCCGCAGUAA